rnacentral:rRNA from 1 species
UUUAAGGUCUAAUCUGCCCAAUGAGGGUUUAAAUGGCCGCGGUAUUUUGACCGUGCAAAGGUAGCAUAAUAAUUAGUUUUUUAAUUGAAAGCUAGAAUGAAUGAUUGGACGAGAAAAUAGCUGUCUCAAAUUAAUUUAAUUAGAAUUUUAUUUUUAAGUAAAAAAGCUUAAAUUUUUUUAAAAGACGAGAAGACCCUAUAGAGUUUUAUAUUUUUAUAUUUAUAUUAAUGUUUUUAGAAUUAAUAUUUUAGUAUAUAUAAAAUUAUUUUGUUGGGGUGAUAGAAAAAUUAAAUAAACUUUUUUUAUAUUUAAACAUUAAUUUAUGAUUUAAUGAUCCAUUAUUUAUGAUUAGAAGAUUAAAUUACCUUAGGGAUAACAGCGUAAUUUUUUUUUAGAGUUCUUAUCGAAAGAAAAGAUUGCGACCUCGAUGUUGGAUUAAAAUAUACUUUUGGUGUAGGGGCUAAGUAGUUAGGUCUGUUCGACCUGUAAAAUUUUACA